UUUAUUUGUCGGAGAUAGUCAAUAGUACGGUCACUGAACGAGACGCAAGCGCGCCCUCUGGCGGCGUUUUUGGUGAAUCAACAAUUUGGCGCGCUUGGCGGAGUCGUGGCGGUCAGCGCGGCGUCCGCGGAGCGCAGUCUUAGUUCAGUCUUGGUCGAGUCUUCAUUGAGUGUUCGUGGCGUUACUGCCUUACGUCACGUCUAGUGUUAUUACCUAGUGUUGUAGUACCGUUGUAGAUCCAUAUUGUAAAGUGUCGUUUGAAAUUAAAGUGUAAAGGUUCUUCUAACCUAACAGACAGACAUGUGUUGCUGGGGAGUUUGUUCCGCCACUUCUUCUCCCCAAGCCAAAACACAUAGGAAGUGGCGAAGGGCGGGCGUUUUGGGGGAUGUCUUUUGUUCUGACUAAUUUGAAUAAACGUUUGAGUUUUGAGUUUGUUAAAGUUUUGAGUUCGUUUGAAUUAUCUCUUUGCUCGAUUACCCUACCUGAUGUCGGACGAUAGUGCCAGCCAUCCUGAUGACGCUCUCCGACAUCAGAAGUGGGAUGCAAUCCGAAUGCCCACACGCGUUUCGAAUUCGCCAUGCGAAGAUAAAUUUCUACCCACAAAAAAAAAAAAAUGGAACGUCGAUAAUUUGAAUUAAGAAUUUCAGCGAAGGUACAAGUAUGGUAACCACGGUUAUGGUAAUGGUAUCGUUUCCAUUGUUAAAUGUCAAGCUAGUUAUUGAAGGUAUGUUAGAAAAUUUACCGAAUGUGUCUUUUUUUCAUGUUUCAACAAUGACGGUGGUUAUUGUGCAAUUCGGCGAGAAAAUUACGACGUUGAAUGGAGCAUGCCAGCUGCCAGGAGCCCAACGUGUCGUGUGUUAUCGUGAGUUCGGAGUGUUGGUGCUCGUACAUCUCCGUGGCUUCACGUUCACGAAAGUCGCUGUACUGCGCGCUAUAGCGAUGUGUGCAUAGUCACGCACGUUGAGUGGAAACCCGGUACAAUGUGUAGCCACACGAGGACGUGUGUAUGUCAGUUAUGGCCGUGUCGGAGAUAGUCAAUAGUACGGUCACUGAACGAGACGCAAGCGCGCCCUCUGGCGGCGUUUUUGGUGAAUCAACAAUUUGGCGCGCUUGGCGGAGUCGUGGCGGUCAGCGCGGCGUCCGCGGAGCGCAGUCUUAGUUCAGUCUUGGUCGAGUCUUCAUUGAGUGUUCGUGGCGUUACUGCCUUACGUCACGUCUAGUGUUAUUACCUAGUGUUGUAGUACCGUUGUAGAUCCAUAUUGUAAAGUGUCGUUUGAAAUUAAAGUGUAAAGGUUCUUCUAACCUAACAGACAGACAUGUGUUGCUGGGGAGUUUGUUCCGCCACUUCUUCUCCCCAAGCCAAAACACAUAGGAAGUGGCGAAGGGCGGGCGUUUUGGGGGAUGUCUUUUGUUCUGACUAAUUUGAAUAAACGUUUGAGUUUUGAGUUUGUUAAAGUUU
rnacentral:lncRNA from 1 species